GUAAAGUUCUUUUACGAGGGAUAAUUAUGAUAGUACUUCGUGAAUAAGUGACAGCAAACUAUGUGCCAGCAGCUGCGGUAAUACAUAGGUCGCGAGCAUUAUUCGGAUUUAUUGGGCGUAAAGCAAGCGCAGGCGGAUGUGUAAGUUCUGUGUUAAAUGCAGCUACUCAAUAGUUGUAUGCACCGAAUACUACAUGUCUAGAUUGUGGUAGGGAGUUUCGGAAUUAAGCAUGGAGCGGUGGAAUGUGUAGAUAUGCUUAAGAACACCAGAGGCGAAGGCGGAAACUUAGGCCAUAAAUGACGCUUAGGCUUGAAAGUGUGGGGAGCAAAUGGGAUUAGAUACCCCAGUAGUCCACACCGUAAACGAUGGGUAUUAGAUAUUAGGGCUUUAGCUUUAGUGUUGUAGCUUACGCGUUAAAUACCCCGCCUGGGUAGUACAUAUGCAAAUAUGAAACUCAAAGGAAUUGACGGGGACCUGAA
rnacentral:rRNA from 1 species